rnacentral:rRNA from 1 species
GCAAGUCGAGCGGUAACAUUUCAAAGCUUGCUUUGAAGAUGACGAGCGGCGGACGGGUGAGUAAUGCUUGGGAAUAUGCCUUAUGGUGGGGGACAACAGUUGGAAACGACUGCUAAUACCGCAUAACGUCUACGGACCAAAGGGGGGGAUCUUCGGACCUCACGCCAUAAGAUUCGCCCAAGUGGGAUUAGCUAGUUGGUGAGGUAAUGGCUCACCAAGGCAACGAUCCCUAGCUGGUCUGAGAGGAUGAUC